UACAGAGGGUGCUAGCGUUGUUCGGAAUCAUUGGGCGUAAAGGGCGUGUAGGCGGUUUGUUAAGUCAUGUGUGAAAUCCCUCGGCUCAACCGGGGAACGACGCAUGAAACUGGCAAGCUAGAGUACCAAAGAGGGGGUGGAAUUCCCGGUGUAGCGGUGAAAUGCGUAGAUAUCGAGAGGAACACCAGUGGCGAAGGCGAGUCCCUGGACACUUCCUGACACUGAGGCACGAAAGCUAGGGGAGCAAACAGG
rnacentral:rRNA from 1 species